rnacentral:rRNA from 1 species
GAUGAACGCCGGCGGCGUGCCUAAUACAUGCAAGUAGAACGCUGAAGGAGAAGCUUGCUUCUCUGGAUGAGUUGCGAACGGGUGAGUAACGCGUAGGUAACCUGCCUGGUAGCGGGGGAUAACUAUUGGAAACGAUAGCUAAUACCGCAUAAGAGCAGUUGUUGCAUGACAGCUGUUUAAAAGGUGCAAUUGCACCACUACCAGAUGGACCUGCGUUGUAUUAGCUAGUUGGUGAGGUAACGGCUCACCAAGGCGACGAUACAUAGCCGACCUGAGAGGGUGAUCGGCCACACUGGGACUGAGACACGGCCCAGACUCCUACGGGAGGCAGCAGUAGGGAAUCUUCGGCAAUGGGGGCAACCCUGACCGAGCAACGCCGCGUGAGUGAAGAAGGUUUUCGGAUCGUAAAGCUCUGUUGUAAGAGAAGAACGAGUGUGAGAGUGGAAAGUUCACGCUGUGACGGUAUCUUACCAGAAAGGGACGGCUAACUACGUGCCAGCAGCCGCGGUAAUACGUAGGUCCCGAGCGUUAUCCGGAUUUAUUGGGCGUAAAGCGAGCGCAGGCGGUUAGAUAAGUCUGAAGUUAAAGGCUGUGGCUUAACCAUAGUACGCUUUGGAAACUGUUCAACUUGAGUGCAAGAGGGGAGAGUGGAAUUCCAUGUGUAGCGGUGAAAUGCGUAGAUAUAUGGAGGAACACCGGUGGCGAAAGCGGCUCUCUGGCUUGUAACUGACGCUGAGGCUCGAAAGCGUGGGGAGCAAACAGG